CACGUAGGGUGCAAGCGUUGUCCGGAAUCAUUGGGCGUAAAGAGCUCGUAGGCGGCUUAGUAAGUCGGGUGUGAAAACCCCAGGCUCAACCUGGGGACGCCACCCGAUACUGCUAUAGCUAGAGUCCAGUAGGGGAGUGUGGAAUUCCCAGUGUAGCGGUGAAAUGCGCAGAUAUUGGGAGGAACACCAGCGGCGAAGGCGGCACUCUGGGCUGGUACUGACGCUGAGGAGCGAAGGCCAGGGGAGCAAACGGG
rnacentral:rRNA from 1 species